rnacentral:ncRNA from 1 species
AAAAAGUUUUAUUUUAGCUUAAAAAUUAAGUGUUAUUUUUAAUUAUAUGUAAAUUUUAUUAAAGAGUAAAUAGCAGUAUUUAAAAUUAUUAAUUUAAGAAAUUAAGAAUUAGAAAUAAUAUAAAAUAUAAACUAAAUUUGUGCCAGCAGUUGCGGUUAUACAAAUUAUAUAAAUUAAUUUUAUUAAUUUUAAUUAUUUAGUAAAAAUUAAAUUUUAAAGUUAAAUUUAUUUGGUGAAAUUAUAAAUUUAAAAUAAAAUUUAAAUUUGAUAAUAAUGUUAAAAAGUUUUAAUUAUAAACUAGGAUUAGAUACCCUAUUAUUUAAAAGGUAAUUUUUUAAUUUAAUUAGUAUUAGUUAUGAUCUUGAAAAUUAAAAAUUUUGGCGGUAUUUUAAUCUAUUCAGAGGAACCUGUUCUAUAAAUGAUAAUCCACGAUUUUAAUUACUUUUAUUAUUAAUUUAUAUAUCGUCGUUAUUUAAAUAUUUUUGUAGAAUAAUAAUAUUUAAGAUUUUGAAUAAAAAAUUAUUUCAGAUCAAGGUAUAGUUUAUAUAAAAGUAGAAAUGGGUUACAAUAUAUUGUAUAUUAAGAUUUAUAAUUUUAAAUUAUAAUGAAUUUGGAUUUGAUAGUAAUUUUAAUAAAUUUAUUAAGAUGAUUUUAGUACUAAAAUAUGCACAUAUUGCCCGUCACUUUCGUUUAAUAUGAAAUAAGUCGUAACAAAGUAGAUUUACUGGAAAGUGAAUCUAGAAAACA